AUCGCUUCUCGGCCUUUUGGCUCAGAUCAAGUGUAGUAUCUGUUCUUAUCAGUUUAAUAUCUGAUACGUCCCCCAUCGGGGACUACAUAUUAAAUGGAUUUUUCGAACAGGGAGUCGGAAAUGGGGCUUGCUCCGUCCGGCUCCACGCAUCGACCCGGUAUUGCAGUACCUCCGGGAACGGUGCAACACUU
rnacentral:snRNA from 1 species